GGGAAUGUGGCUUAGUGGUAGAGUACUUGUCUAGCAUGCAGGAAGCCCUGGAUUCAAUUCCCCAGUACCA
rnacentral:tRNA from 1 species